rnacentral:lncRNA from 1 species
GAUGGCAUCAACAGGAAGUUCGCACAGGCCACUGCAUCUCUUCCUUUUACAGGAAAUUUGGAAGUGGGACAGCUUACUCAGUGUAGAUGAUUCAUAUCUUUAUGUCCUACUUUGAAGUGGUUUACCACACCGUGGUCACAACUCCGGAAGUGUCAGAUGAUCAUCAGACAUCACUCCUGCCUAGCAAAGAAAUACAAACAUCCUUACCAUCAAGAAGGCUAGGCGGGGUAGUUACUAAAGGGAUUAUUUCAUCAGCUCCUGAAAUGCAAAACCUCCUGUGGCAAGAGAGGAAAGGCAGUCUUGUGACUGCGGCUCUGACCUGAAGGACAUGCUGUCUCCAAGUAUGAUUUCAUUCAGGUAGUGGGAGCAAGAGCUGCAGUAAAACACAAAAAGAUUUGCCUUAGGCAGACAGGUGAGCUCAGUUUUUUCUCUCUUUCUUCCUGACUUUGUGAUCACACUAUGCACAUAAUCAGACUGUCUGCCUGCUCCAAACAGAACAUUCCUUUAUGG